GCCAGACUCCUACGGGAGGCAGCAGUCGGGAAUAUUGCGCAAUGGAGGAAACUCUGACGCAGUGACGCCGCGUAUAGGAAGAAGGUUUUCGGAUUGUAAACUAUUGUCGUUAGGGAAGAAAAAAGACAGUACCUAAGGAGGAAGCUCCGGCUAACUACGUGCCAGCAGCCGCGGUAAUACGUAGGGAGCAAGCGUUAUCCGGAAUUAUUGGGUGUAAAGGGUGCGUAGACGGGAGUCUAAGUUAGUUGUGAAAUCCCUCGGCUCAACUGAGGAACUGCAACUAAAACUGGACAUCUUGAGUGCAGGAGAGGAAAGUGGAAUUCCUAGUGUAGCGGUGAAAUGCGUAGAUAUUAGGAAGAACACCAGUGGCGAAGGCGGAUGACUGGACGACAACUGACGGUGAGGCGCGAAAGCGUGGGGAGCAAACAGGAUUAGAUACCCGCGUA
rnacentral:rRNA from 1 species